UUUAUGCCACUUGGUGCUAUCACACAGGGAUUUGAAAACAACAUGUCCCAGUGCAGCCACAUGUAUUUUGCUGUCUGCUAUUCUGUGAAGCCUGGAACAGUUUAAGGCUUGGUACGCAUCCUGCUCCACUCAGAGCACAAAGCAUCCUGCUAUUGCUAAAACGUAUUUUGACAACAUGCAUAAAGCAUUAUCCUUCCCGCAGGGGAUCUCAGCAGAGAAAUGGUUGGAGUCACUGGUCCAGGAUGAGUAGACGUGGUAACAGGCCAUGCUGUGGGAGUUUUACUUUCCCUGCUUUGCUGUUCAUGGUGAGCUGGGGCAGCUGGUUUCCCUUCUGAGUGAUGCCUGGAAGCAGCAACAGAUCUGAAAGGUCUUAGAUGUCACUUGCUGGGCCCUCAGUCUGAAGAACAGUAACUCACUGCUUUGGUAAAGAUCCAGUCCCAAAUAAUCCCCUACUGUUGAACUGUCCUCAAGGCAGGACAGCGGGAAACCCAGUGGCGUGACGGAUCUGUCCCAUGUGGGUCCCACCAGGGAAUGAGAACUGCACAGGAAGGGACAUGUCUGAAAUCAGGAGAUUUAGGAAUUGCCCAAGGAGGCGUUUUGAAGAAAGCCUAAGAGGGCAGGAGUGGUGGGAGACCUGCAUGAGUGAGAUCCCAGGGAUGGGGCAAAGACAGGGGAAAGGAGGGGUGCAGGAUGACCCCAUGCAAAUGUGCAAUCCUGCAAAGGAGACCCAAAACAGGACUACUUGCUGCAUGACAUGACUGUACACAGCGGUACUGCAGGAGCAGGGAGCGCCACGUGACACCGGACACGGCCGUGCUGUUGGGGUGUUGCCCGCUAAAGUGGCCACUUUGUGAAGCUUUGACAAGCCAGCAGACCCCAUGUCCGAAUUCUAAGCAGGGAGGCAGGAACUCUGCCCUCCCAAGCACACUGCCUGUGAUGUGAUCCAACCAUCAGAGGACACAUUCAGUUGUGGUACUGGCAGUGCUUUGGAUUUCAGCAGUGUUUCCAGCUAUGAAGUUUUAGAUGAGCUAUGGGUCAAGGUAGGUCUUGAGGGAACUGCAGUGAACUAACAAAUGACACCAUCCAAGGAGAGCUCAGGUGGUGCCCUUGCUCUGUUUCCAUCCAUUUCUUCUUUUGUCUUGAAAUGCAUUUAAAAGUCCCUUAAACAAAUCAGUGGGUUUUGGUUCAUCAUUGCUUGAUUUUCUUCAGCUAGUGACUACUAAUUCCCUUAUUGAGUGAAACAAUCGGAAUAACGCAAAUAGAUCUAAAUAACAGCUGCAAAUUAAAUGAUGCUCUACGUACUAUAUAAUAAACAAAGCAAGAAAAACACCUUCAUUCUAACACCUGAAUUCAUUGUACAAGCAGAAUCAAGAGGCUGAAGACCAGAAGAAAUGUUAAAAUUUGCAGUGUCCCUAAAUCUUGGGUAGUGCAAUCUGAGCUCUGCCAUUGGAAAAGUGCUGCACAUAUAUGCUGUGUUUUAAAAAUGACACUGGUGACUGUGCAAGAAUGCUCAGUGGAUCAGCUUCCCAAAAUGACAUGCAAAAGUCUGUGAUCAAAAUAUAUUACUUUACAGCAUGGUUACAAGGCACAAACAUCACUUAUGGAAGUCUCCAAACCUAGGCUGAACUUUACAGUUUGCCAAUGCUUUCUCUUCCAAUUUACAGGAUGGGAACACCCUUGCACAGGGUUGCUCACCCCACUUUGGCAGUGGACCAAGCCAGCCCACCCUUGGCAUGAACAGACAACAGGUGCGGGAAAGCGAUAACGUCCACAGCCUGCUCUGCUGCCUCCUAACUGCCCUGUCUCACCAAACUCCAAGAAUGCCACCUUGCAGCAACAGACCACAUGGAGAUUUUCUAAAGUUGCUUUGCAGGUGAGGAGCAGAAAACUUUUGUUUCAAACUCCCGUGUUAUCAGAAAACUUCUAGAGCUUCUCAGGCAUUCAUUGCAAACCCACAAUCUGUCCAACUCAGUGAGAAUGCCUUGCAGCAGGAUCGGGUUUUAUCCAGCACCAGGUACGCUGAUAACCCUCCUUAAUCAGUUGCCAAUCUCUGCUCAGCGAAACCACUCCCUGCAGUAUUUUUACUGAAGUUAUUCUUUAAAUGACAGUGUGAUAUUUUGUUUUCUUUUGCUCAUUUGUCAAUGGAAGAACUGGUUGUGCUGUGUGUCUCCUCUGACAAGAAACUUGUUGGGGUCCCUUCGCACCCGGCUGUGGAAAAGCCUUCUAGGUUCCUUUUCACCCUGGUGUUGACACUACUCUGGAACAUUUUUCACAGUUUAUGUUGUUCUAUGUUUAGCUGAGCUGCUACUUGCAUGCAUGUUCGGCUAUUUUGAGUAUUUUAUUUUCCUCCACCUGAGUUGCACAAGACAUUCAAGGAAUUAUAUUGUUAGGUUUUUAGGUAUGAGCACCUAACCUAAAAAAUGAAAAUUAAAACCUGAUAUGUCCAAAAGGCAUCACCGUGUGGAUAAUUCACAUUUCAUUUUGCCAAACAGCUUUCCCAAAUGGAGAUGUAACUGGUUCCUACUCUUCAUCCAAGCACCUGGACAUCACUGCAUGUUUCACAAUGAGUUUAACAUUUCAUUCUUCUCAGUAAUGCAUCAGAGUGACACAAGCCACUUUCUGUCCCCUGGGGGUUUCUUCUAGAUGAAGGAACUAUAAAAUGCCUCCUGGAAUUUUGCUGAUUCCCAAGCCCUACAGCCUUCAGCACUGUUGGAUCACAGUUGUUCCACCAUGACUUCCAAGCCCUAAAUCAGACAUAAAUGGCUUAUAGCAGAUAAAACCCCACUGAGAAAUAUGGGUUGUCUGUGUGUGUGCAGCUAUCGGAUAUAAAACAUGCCUAAUUAAAUCCUGGAAAACUACAUUCUCUGGUUUUAAGUCCUCUGCAUGUACACAGGCCCAAGACUUCUGUUUUUAUGCCCUGAGAAAUUCCAGGAUUUCUUCCACUGCCUUCUCUCAUAUAUAACAUGUACAAUCCUGCCUCCCUGCAGAGCUAAUCCCAUAGACUUCAACAAGAUUACUGCUCAGGUAGCUUGAAUACCUUUCCAAGAAACGGCGCUGGACUCAGUCACAUGAGAGAUGCCAGUCUCUUGGGAUCACAGAUUGCUCCAUCAGACAAAAUAUUUUCCUGCUACUGUGUCCUUCCUUAAAGAUGGGGCUCUCUAUACCACGCGCUGCUGUCCUCUUCUAGCAAACACACUUAAGAGCAAGUGUGCCUUGAAUGCCCCCCACACCUAUUAGAUUCCAACAUCCACGGUGUGAAAUCCCCAUUCGGUUUUAUGUCUUCUUUGCCUUUUUUUCAACAACUUCAGCUUUUUUGAGCUUCUGAAGGUUUAGGAGGUUCUACUUUUUUGCAUAAUUAGGAAAUUGGGAACUGUGGUUUAUCUACUCAUUUCCUGUGAAACACAAAGGUCCCGAGAGAUGGGGGAUGCGUGUAUGUGUGCGAGAGAGUGUGCAUGUGUGUGCGUGCCAGGGGAUGCUGGGAGGGUGUGGGGUGUGGAUAAGUCUGCCUAGAGAGCACAAGGGUGAGUUUGCAGUAUCAUGAAGAGAGAUUUCUCCUGGCUCCCACUGGCAUAAAGAGAAGACUGCAGUUACAUUAGUUUGUGACUUCUGGAAAGUAGCCCUCGCACCGAAGGUGAUGUGCUACAGCUUGUUGUCACUGCAGCUCUCAGACUGUGGGUCAAUGGUCAGGGCAGUCCUCCACUCUCGCCAGUCAGUGGACACUGCACUGCUUGCCAAGCACCUUCUCUUCCUCACCAACGUCAUUGACAUUUACACCGUUCAAACAAAUCCUUUCCUACAUUGCAAUGUUUGCCACAGAAGCAUUUUGUUGACUAGCAGGUGUUUCGGCCAGCUGUGACAAGGAAGGGGCAUGGUGGGUGUGAGGGAUGGCCUAUUCAUGAAGAUGCAGGCAGCACUGGUGGAAAGGCUGGUUCUCUCCAUCCAAGCUGCCUCUUUGCAUCUGGCCCCAUCCCGGCCACUGGGCUGGGAUUGCUAAGCUGGGGAAAUGGCAAGCAAGCACAAAGCGUGCCAUGAUUCAGCAGCACUCAUUUCUGUAACCAGCCUUCCAGCUGCCAGAAGAAGGCAAAGUUCCUGUAUGAAAAUAUUUUCAGUUGAAUAUAACAUAAAAUGCAAUAAUAGAUAUUUCAAGAUGUAAACAGUAGCUUUUUUCCUCCAGCGAAAAAACCAAAAAACUCACAAUUACAGCUUUUGUGUGUCACGUCGCUGUUUACUAACAUGCAACACAACUCUAGGGAUCAAAAGUGGGGGAAAGAAAAUUGGAUUAAAGGAAGUGUGGAGUUUUUUUAACCUAAAGUGUUCUGCAUAAAACUAUUAUGCUGAGAAGAUGACUAAUGUAACCAGUGUGUGUUUUGAAGCAUGUCAUGAACACUUUUUAUGCUUUCUGAACACACAAAAAGAAACCCCAGGAGAGAAUUAAUUUACAAAUCUGAUUAAGCAUAGUCCCUAAGUGGCAAAAAGCAUCAUACAAUAAAUAGUAGACUCUACAGGUAAAUAAAGCUUUAAAAAGUAAGCAUUCUCUAGGAAGACCCCAGAUGUGUAUUUUGGGUAGUUUACUGUGUUUGAUUAGAUGUCAAAAGCACAGAUAAUGAAAGCAGUGGUCUCACUGAGGUGUUAUUUCCAACCUCUCCUUCAUUAAGCCAUCGUACUGCCUGUCUAGUGUACAGCAUGUAUCUUAAUUUGAGAAGCAAAGGCAAGCCUAUAAACAGAGGAAUGAGUCCUAAGAUAGGGGUUUUCUAACUGAUGCCAAGACUGACUUAACGUGUGGUCCUUGGCCAGUCAUAGUGGAAUAAGUUUGGAUGAACCAAGAAGCUCCCAUUUCCCAGGGGUUUUGUUCCUCACCAGGCACAGCCUAUUCCCCCGCUGUUGACCCACACAGUAGGGCCAAAGUAUGCCAGCACUGACUCUUUCCCCUUGGGUGCAAGAUCUGUGCUGCUUUGCACAAGGCCACGACAAGGUCAAGCCGCAGCCCCCUUUGGCACAGGUCCCAGCUACCUGAGUCUCAACAAAAGUUACCUUUUGCAUGAGUUGUGUCAGCCUUCAUUCAUUCACAUUCACAGAGUAGUUUAUGAUAGAAGUGAGCAGUAGUAUUGCUCUGCAAUUGGAGUUUACUUGCCUUCAGGGACAUUCUGAGUCCACGGGAGUUUGGAUGUUAAUUACAGUCCCUUAUAGCUGUAGAUCAGGGUGUAUUCAAACCCCAGAUAGAUGCUUAUUAGAAGCUUUAAGUCUCAUCAGUGCAUCUCUGAAUAUUACAGCCAUUUUCAUAUAUAUAGGAAUAUACUUCUACUAAUCUUCUUACCCCCGGAAUAACUACCAAUAACAUAACACCUUUUAACAACUCACAUAAUUUCAUUCAAUAGCAGAGAGGUGACAGAAUGACUUAGUAUGACCUAGACUUUCCCAUGUGCGUAAGUGGUGAAAUACCCUGUCCUACUGCUGUCAUGGGAGUCAUUUGAUAUAGGUCC